GUUUUUGGCCUUACCGUCCUGAAUGUGCCUGAUCACGAAAGCUAAGCAGGGCUGGUUUGGUUAGUACUUAGAUGGGAGAAGAGAUAGCCAGCUGAGACUU
ensembl:rRNA 5S_rRNA 5S ribosomal RNA